ensembl:lncRNA
AGACAUUUAUCCUAUCUAUAAAGAAAGUUCUUGUAGAGUGUAUUAUUACACGAGUUCUUCACAUCAGGAGGGCUGACUGAGUUAAUGAGGGCUGAGAGGUGGCCUGUAGUCUCUAAUAGGAUGGGAAACGCGUUCAUUUUUCCUUUGCAUGAACAGGAGGAGCGUUUGCGUCACUGGAGUCAGCUGUGCGCGCGUCUCACGAGUGUAUCUGCACUUCACGAGAGACUACAAAACUUUACACUCUUCCAACUGUGAGAUAAAACACUGCUUUUCAACAGGCGGGUAGAAGAAGAGUGGAAUAAUAAAACUAGAAGGAAACGGGUUAAGAAGGAAACGGCGGAGGAAGGCGUUUGGCGUGCUGGCCUGAGACCCGGUCCAGCGGUGUGGUCUGCUCGGCCCUGUGGUCAUGUACAGCACACGAAAGACCUGGGACGUCGGCCACACCCCCUGCCUGCAGGAGCUCUGGAACGAAGACCUCUCAUUGGAUGUUUCAGCAAGUUCCGUGGAUAUCCUGAUGAGUGAUGGUGAGGAGGAGAGCUCCUUCCUCUCGUUGCCUAACUCUGUCCUUCAGCGCCACUGUUUGACCUCUGACCUCUCUGAAGCGGCCACCUCAGAACAGCAGCAGCUGCUCAUACAGACACUGCAAGAGAGAGUCUGUGAGUUCCAGGCACGUUUGCGCAGUGAAGACUCUGCCAAAAGACUCCUGCUACAGCGACUGCAGACACACGACCACCAGCUCAACCAAGACAACCACCUGAACGAGGAACAUUCAUCCAUCAACCAAGAACCUCAAGAGCAGCUCAGACUGCAGGACAGCCAGCUCAACCAAGCUGUGUCACCUACAGGUGUGAGGAGCUCUAGUGUUUUGACACAGAGGCCUGUGAGUAAAGUUCACUCACAGGAGCAACUGCAAAAAGGCGAGGGAGAACAACUCACUCUUAUUACAGGGCUGCGCACACAGGUCAGGGAGCUGGAGGAGAAACUAGUGGAUCAGACGCAGGAGGUGGAGAGACUGCGCUCUGAGCUGGGGGCGACAGAUCUGGAGAAACAGCUCGAGGUGCUGGAGAGUGAGAACCAGCGGCUCAAACAGGAGCUGAGGGCCAGUCAGUCCCAGACCACCUGCUCGACCGGCCACUGCCACCAGAGCCAGGAUGUGGAGGCCCUGCGUGGAGAGCUGUGUCGUAAGGACGAGGAGUGCCGCGAGCAGGAGCGGCGACUGGCUGCGCUGGAGCAGCAGGUGCAGGAGAGGACUGGUGUGAUAGUUCAGCUGCAGCAGCAGUUAGAGGAGGCAGCACGGCCCAGACAGGAGCUCCAGCUGCUUCGUGAUGGUGAGGAGACUCUGUCUCGCCAGGCUGCUCUGCCGCUGCAGGUCAAGUAUGUGACCAAGACGGUUGAAGUGGAGUCAGCCCAGAGUAAGCAGGCUUUAAUAGAGGCCCAGGCCCAUAACCAGGCGCUGCAGGAGCAGCUGAGUGUUCAGAGGCAGCUCCUCAGAGAGCUGGAGCAGCAGCUCCACGAGUCCCAGAGAAGCAGCAGUCAGCUCCGCCAGCAGCUGAGCACGGACCGCAGCCGUCUGAAUGGUCUGCUCUCCAAGGCGGUGGGUGGGGGUAACACCGAGGUCACCCACAGGCUGUCCAAGGUCGUCCAGAUUACUCUGCAGGGGUCAAGGGUCAAAAAUGUCAUGGGUGUGCGGAUGAACCUCCUGACGCUGCAGCCGGCCCUGAGGACCCUCACCUGUGAUUACAACUGUCUGAAGAGACAGGUGCAGGACUUCCCUUACAUGCUGGAGAAAGCCAUCACCGAGGCAAAGCAGGAGAUCUGUCAGGUGAUUGGAGAGGUGAGCAGUGCAAACCAAGAGCUGCUGCGCAAAUACAAGCGGGAGAUGAACCUGAGGAAGAAAUGCCACAAUGAACUGGUGCGCCUCAAAGGAAACAUUCGUGUGUUGUGCCGAGUACGUCCCGUAUGUGCUGGAGAAACAGAUGCUGCUGACACCAAAAACAAAGUGACCUUUGACCCUGAUGAUGAUGCUGUUCUCUACUUGUCCAAUAAGGGCAAGCUCAUGACCUUUGAACUUGACAAAGUCUUUCCCACUCAGGCCACUCAGGAGGAGGUGUUCCAGGAAGUGCAGUCUCUGGUCACUUCCUGUAUUGAUGGCUUUAACGUAUGCAUCUUUGCCUAUGGGCAGACCGGCUCUGGAAAGACCUAUACUAUGGAGGGUGUCCCUGAAGACCCUGGCAUUAACCAGCGUGCUCUGCGGCUGCUCUUCUCUGAAGUGUUGGAGAAAAAGCCUGACUGGGACUAUAAGAUCACCGUCAGCAUGGUGGAAAUCUACAAUGAGACACUUCGGAAUCUGUUGGGCGACAAUCCCAAUGAGAAGCUGGAUAUAAAGAUGUGUCCAGACGGCAGUGGACAGCUGUAUGUGCCAGGACUCACGGAGUUCACCGUGGAGAGCGUGGAGGACAUUAACAAGGUGUUUGACCUGGGUCACAUGAACAGGGCGACAGCGUGCACUAAUCUAAACGAGCACAGCUCUCGCUCUCACGCUCUCCUGAUCGUCACAGUGGCAGGUUUCAACUCUUCCACGGGCCACCGUACCUCAGGUAAGCUCAAUCUGGUGGAUCUGGCUGGUUCCGAGCGGAUCACCAAAUCCGGCGCUGAGGGCAGCCGUCUGCGCGAGGCUCAGUGUAUCAACAAAUCACUGUCUGCGCUGGGCGACGUCAUCAACGCCCUGCGCUCCAAACACUCGCACGUGCCCUUCAGGAACUCGCGUCUCACGUACCUGCUGCAGGACUCGCUCAGCGGAGACAGCAAGACCCUCAUGAUGGUGCAGGUGUCUCCUCUAGAGAGUAACGUCAGUGAGUCGGUUUGCUCUCUGAAGUUCGCUCAGCGUGUUCGGUCUGUUGAGAUCGGGCCCUCGUCUUCCUCACGCCGCCAAGCAGAGAACUCCUCUACAUCCUCCUCUCCAACUCAUGACGGCGUGGAGUCGUUGUGUUUCGAGAAAAAACUCGUUAAAUUUCGAGAAAAAAUGUUGAAAUACAAUCUUGAGAAUAAACUCAAAUUUCGAGAAUAA